rnacentral:rRNA from 1 species
UACGUAGGGGGCUAGCGUUGUCCGGAUUUAUUGGGCGUAAAGAGCUCGUAGGCGGCUUGUCACGUCGACUGUGAAAACCCGGGGCUCAACUCCGGGCCUGCAGUCGAUACGGGCUGGCUUGAGUGCGGUAGGGGAGACUGGAAUUCCUGGUGUAGCGGUGAAAUGCGCAGAUAUCAGGAGGAACACCUAUGGCGAAGGCAGCUCGCUGGGACGUUACUGACGCUGAGACGCGAAAGCGUGGGGAGCAAACAGG